ACGGGUGAGUAACGCGUGGGUAACCUGCCUUAUACAGGGGGAUAACAGUCAGAAAUGGCUGCUAAUACCGCAUAAGCGCACAGAGCUGCAUGGCUCAGUGUGAAAAACUCCGGUGGUAUAAGAUGGACCCGCGUCUGAUUAGCUAGUUGGUGGGGUAACGGCCUACCAAGGCGACGAUCAGUAGCCGACCUGAGAGGGUGACCGGCCACAUUGGGACUGAGACACGGCCCAAACUCCUACGGGAGGCAGCAUG
rnacentral:rRNA from 1 species